CCUACGGGAGGCAGCAGUGGGGAAUAUUGCACAAUGGGGGAAACCCUGAUGCAGCGACGCCGCGUGAGUGAAGAAGUAUUUCGGUAUGUAAAGCUCUAUCAGCUGGGAAGAAGAAAGACGGUACCUGACUAAGAAGCCCCGGCUAACUACGUGCCAGCAGCCGCGGUAAUACGUAGGGGGCAAGCGUUAUCCGGAUUUACUGGGUGUAAAGGGAGCGUAGACGGCUGUGCAAGUCUGAAGUGAAAGCCCAGGGCUCAACCCUGGGACUGCUUUGGAAACUGUGGAGCUAGAGGGCUGGAGAGGGAAGUGGAAUUCCUAGUGGAGCGGUGAAAUGCGUAGAUAUUAGGAGGAACACCAGUGGCGAAGGCGGCUUACUGGACAGUAACUGACGUUGAGGCUCGAAAGCGUGGGGAGCAAACAGGAUUAGAUACCCCAGUAGUC
rnacentral:rRNA from 1 species